rnacentral:rRNA from 1 species
CUUCGGGUAAUGAGGAUGGCGGACGGGUGAGUAACGCGUAAGGAACUUGCCUCUUGGACUGGGACAACUGUUGGAAACGACAGCUAAUACCGGAUAUUAUGAGAUUCUCGCAUGAGAAACUUAUGAAAGCUAUAUGCGCCAAGAGAGAGCCUUGCGUUCCAUUAGCUAGUUGGUGGGGUAACGGCCCACCAAGGCGACGAUGGAUAGCCGGCCUGAGAGGGUGAACGGCCACAAGGGGACUGAGACACGGCCCUUACUCCUACGGGAGGCAGCAGUGGGGAAUAUUGGACAAUGGGCCACAAGCCUGAUCCAGCAAUUCUGUGUGCACGAUGAAGGUCUUCGGAUUGUAAAGUGCUUUCAGUUGGGAAGAAGAAAGUGACGGUACCAACAGAAGAAGCGACGGCUAAAUACGUGCCAGCAGCCGCGGUAAUACGUAUGUCGCAAGCGUUAUCCGGAUUUAUUGGGCGUAAAGCGCGUCUAGGCGGAAAAAUAAGUCUGAUGUUAAAAUGCGGGGCUCAACUCCGUAUUGCGUUGGAAACUGUUUUUCUAGAGUACUGGAGAGGUGGGCGGAACUACAAGUGUAGAGGUGAAAUUCGUAGAUAUUUGUAGGAAUGCCGAUGGAGAAGUCAGCUCACUGGACAGAUACUGACGCUGAA